UUUGACAGAUCCUAGUAAUUGCCUGAAUAU
rnacentral:piRNA from 1 species